GUGUGCCAGGGCGGUGCGGGGACUAGCAGAGCGGCCUUCUGGGAAGGGCUCGUGUCUCACCAUGCACCUGAUCCCACUAG
rnacentral:miRNA from 14 species